rnacentral:rRNA from 1 species
GAAAGUAAGCAAGGGCAGACGGUGGAUGCCUUGGCUCUCGGAGGCGAUGAAGGACGUGAUAAGCUGCGAUAAGCUUGGGGUAGGUGCAAAUAACCUUUGAUCCCAAGAUUUCCGAAUGGGGCAACCCGGCUGGUGGAAGGCCAGUCAUUCCGUAAGGAAGGCGAACGUGGGGAACUGAAACAUCUAAGUACCCAUAGGAGAAGAAAACAAAAGUGAUUCCGCAAGUAGUGGCGAGCGAACGCGGAACAGCCCAAACCGAUGAUGUUUAGGCAUUGUCGGGGUAGUAGGACCACGUUGUGGCAAGAGAUUAAGGAAGUAGAACGUUUUGGAACAAACGGCCGUAGACGGUGAAAGCCCGGUAUACGACUCUUUAACGAAGCCUAGUGGAAUCCUGAGUAGCGCGGAGCACGAGAAAUUCUGUGUGAAUCAGCGGGGCCCAUCCCGUAAGGCUAAAUACUCCCGAGAGACCGAUAGCGAACCAGUACUGUGAAGGAAAGGUGAAAAGCACCUCGAACAGAGGAGUGAAAUAGUCCCUGAAACCGUCUGCCUACAAGCGGUCGGAGCAACGUAAGUUGUGACGGCGUGCCUUUUGCAUAAUGAACCUACGAGUUACUUUCUCCGGCAAGGUUAAGGGCUUCAGGCCCGGAGCCGAAGCGAAAGCGAGUCUUAAUAGGGCGUGAUAGUCGGAGUGAGUAGACGCGAAACCAAGUGAUCUACCCUUGGUCAGGAUGAAGGUUGGGUAACACCAACUGGAGGUCCGAAUGGGUAUACGUUGAAAAGUGUUCCAAUGAACUGAGGGUAGGGGUGAAAGGCUAAUCAAACUUGGAGAUAGCUCGUACUCCCCGAAAUGCAUUUAGGUGCAGCCUUUAUUUAGUAUAGCAUGAGGUAGAGCGACUGAUUGGAUGCGAGGGCUUCACCGCCUAUCAAGUCCAGAUAAACUCCGAAUGCGUGCUAUAUAUUGAUAAGGAGUGAGGGCGCGGGUGCUAAGGUCCGCGUCCGAGAGGAGAAGAAUCCAGACCAUCAGCUAAGGUCCCCAAAUAACAGUUAAGUUGAACUAACGAAGUCGGACUGCAGAGACAGCUAGGAUGUUGGCUUGGAAGCAGCCAUUCAUUUAAAGAGUGCGUAACAGCUCACUAGUCGAGGAGUCCGGCGUGGAUAAUACUCGGGCAUAAACUGUUUACCGAAGCUAUGGAUGUAGAAAUACAUGGUAGGGGAGCAUUCCAACGGCGUUGAAGGUGAAGGAUGACCUUUGCUGGAGCUUUUGGAAACGCAAAUGUAGGUAUAAGUAACGAUAAAGGAGGUGAGAAACCUCCUCGCCGAAAGACUAAGGUUUCCUGAUCAACGUUAAUCGGAUCAGGGUAAGUCGGGACCUAAGGUUAAGCCGAACGGCGAUACCGAUGGAAGAAUGGUUUAAUAUUCCCAUACUACUUUAUGGAGCGAUGUGGAGACGGAGAAGUGAAAGUCCUGCCAUCUGACGGAAUAGGUGGUUGAAGAGUGUAGAUGUAGAUUCCUGUAGGCAAAUCCGCAGGGAGAGUCGACCUUGACAGUAUGCCGCGUGCUUGCACAAGGCAAAAUGGACGUAAUCAGGCUCCCAAGAAAAUCCGCUAAGCAUAUUCAUAAAGUACCCGUACCGUAAACGGACACACGUAGUUGGGUUGAAAAUACUGAGGCGCUCGAGUGAUUCACGGUUAAGGAACUAGGCAAAUUGACCCUGUAACUUCGGGAUAAAGGGUCCCUACUGAGAGGUAGGGCGCAGAGAAUAGGUCCAGGCAACUGUUUAACAAAAACACAUGGCUGUGCGAAAUAGAAAUAUGAAGUAUACAGCCUGACACCUGCCCGGUGCUGGAAGGUUAAGAGGAGAGCUCAUCGCAAGAGAAGGCUUGAAUUGAAGCCCCAGUAAACGGCGGCCGUAACUAUAACGGUCCUAAGGUAGCGAAAUUCCUUGUCGGGU